GCUACAAGAGAGGACAGAGCCAGGGUGAGACUUGGGAUUACAUACUGCCUUCCUAGAGGAGCUCCAGAGUCAGUCUCAGCAGGCCCUGAAAUCUUCACAGAAAGUCAGAGAAAAGAAAGAUGGCACAAGGAGCACACCUUCACUGACUCAGACUCAAUCAAAGAAGCCACAUUUCUGAACCAAGGAGGUGCAUCUUUUUGGCAUCUUCUAGAAGCUAUUUCUGGGUGCUGCCAAGAGAUGAGGUAUUGCUUUAACUUGAUCGUGAAUGGCACCCAAAGACUAAUGUGUUCAGGCUUGGCCUCUAGUCUGUGGCCCAGCGGGAAGAUAACACAAUGAAUAUACUUCCCUCACCCCAAGAUCGGGGCCCUGGACUUUCCUGUUUUGCUCUCUGACUCUCCCCAUGAGGCAAACAGGUUCCUCAGAUACACGAUGCAAUGUGCCAUCACAAGCUAAGCUUCUGAAACCCGAGUUGAGCUGCUGAUGUCAACUAUUUUGUUCUGUCUUACUUAGGUCUGUCACAAGUGAUAGAAAGCUGCAUGACACAGGAACCAAGACCACAAAGAUAAAGGCAGGUAUUACAUACACAGUCCCAGUACUUGAAUUCCUGGAAUCUGUAAACUCAAAAUCAGCCUGGGCAACACAGUAAGACUUUGGGAUAUAGCUCAGUGGUGGAGCACUGUCUAGCACAUACAAGGCUCUAGACCCCAGCACUGGAAGGGGUCAAGGCAAUCUUCUACUAAAGAGAAAUACAAACCCAACCUUAGAAACAGCACUGAAUUCUGUAAAGCCUUGAAAUCCAAAAAAGCAGAGAGGAGGAAGCAGGAGGAGGAUGUUUUAAAAGCUCUUGCCUCCGGCUCUCCAGUGCUGGGAUUAACAGGUGUACCGCACCACGUCUAACUCAAAGUAACAAAGACAGGACUUUCUUUUAUUCAUGCCACUGAAAGUCAGUCUGUACUUAAAGUGAGAAAAGACAGGGCCACUGCAGGCAUAAUUUACAAAAGGAAGCAUCAGAAUUCCAUAUACACAAUUAGAUGCUAUGGGGUGUUUAAAAUAAGAGGUCUCAGCUUAAAAUGUCAGAUCAUAGCCAAGGACGCCAGCACUCCCAACAACCAAAUCCCUUGUGACCAAGCUGUUGGAUGCCAACCAGUGCCUUCUCUGGACUUGUCAGGGAAGACAGAAUGGAGACAUCACUGCAUGUCAGCUACUGUGUUUGCCCAUGAUAGCACUACUAGAGCAUGAUGGGAGAGAGGUAAGCAGCUGGGGAUGUAGGCUGCUGGGAGGCGACCUCGGAAGUCAGACCUUUUACUAUUCAUCACUGACCUCUUUCCAAGCUUGUAUGUAUCUGCCAUCUUUUUCUGGGCCCCUGUUUUAUAUGUUCGGAAGUGAGUUUUCUUUCAAGUGAGAACCAUGGAAUAGGACCGCACAGCUCCUCCGGGAAAAUGAAAAGCUAAAGUGGUGAGUUAAUGUGCUCCUGAAGCCUUCUGCUUCAUCCCUGUACCACUCAAUCAGACCAGCAAGCUAACCAUAAGGAUCCCUCUAAUCCAACUGGCUCCCUCUGCAGAGCUCACACUCAGUUUAACGCCAUGCCAUCUUUGUGGAGCACACACAAAAGCACCUGUGUCCAACUUAAAAUGCCACACCACAGUUCACCUUUCAGGAUUCUGUGAAAACUUCUUUCCAUCAAAUACAUAACUCUUAGGACGAAGUUCUGAUCUUUGUCCUGGACACCAAACUGGGCUCACAUGCAAAUUUCCUCAACAGCUGAUGCCACCCUUCUCCUUUCUUCUGCACCUGUCUCCUGUUUCCAGCUUUACUACCCAAGGUCAUAUACUAAGUACAUCCAUGCAUUUCCAUAAUCCUAAUUCCCAACUAUGAGGAAACUAAAGGGCUUAAGGCCUUUAAGAGCCAUAAUUUAUAUGUUGUUGUCAUAAUUGACAAGCUAAGCUAAAAAAGAUUGUUAAACAUAACUGGUUCUUAAGAGCUCAAAGAGCCCUGAGGCGAUCAUGGAAAAUAUGCUGAAACAACAUAUUUUUGGCAAAUUAAGAGUACUAAAAGGAAAAACACAGAUUUUUCUCAGAAAAACAUGAAUUAAAUAUAAUUUCCAUAGAGAAAUACACAAAUCUCCUAAUUAAACAACUGCACACUGAUCGCCACAUGCAAUUAGAGUACCAUGCUAGCUUUUCAACCGUGCCUUACCCGUAAUCGAUAAUCAUCCACAGUCCAGAUUCGGCUUGCAAAAUCAUUUGAAGCUGCUAAUAGGUAAGCUCCCUACAAGAAUAAAAAGAAAAACAUUUAGCAAAAUUCAGUUCACAAAGCACAAAUUUCCAGUUAUCACGUUCAAGAAGGCAUUCAGAAACUUUCAACUAUCCCUCUAAGCUUGACAUAACAUUGUAUCAUCUUGUCAAGUGUGCUGACAACUACCUCACCCAGUGUUUGAAGCUGAGUGAGUCCUUCCCGCCUGGAUUCACCUGAGCUGACAAGAGUGCAGUUAACACCCCAAACUCACAUCAGAGUUUGGCCUCACCCACUCACCUUUCCCUUCACCACUGUCCCCUUAACACCAGGCACGACUUCCUGAUAUUACUGAUGGGCAAACCAGAGAGCCCAGAGGCCCCACCCUUCUAAGUCAUCUCCUACCUAUCUUUGAGGCCGUUCAUCUUCCUCUGCUCCUUCCUCUGGACCCCCACUACUUAAUCUUACUGGGCUUUCGGGGGCCAUUUCAGACUGCGUUAUUCUGAACCUAUUUCUUAAAACCUCUCAAGGCCUGAGGUAGCUCAAUGAUGAGGCACUUGUGUAGCAUGUCCAAGUACUUGGGGUUGAUCCCCAGAAUUGCCCAAAAUCCCUCUCAAGACUUAUGGAAUGGCUUUAUGAAUGUCUAAACCGUUUGACACCACAUACUUCCCACUAACCAGUCUUAUUUCUUUAUGUUUCCCUGACAUCCAGGCACCUCUGAUUGAGGCACAAAGAUGACUGUCGCCUAGUCAGCGCCCUUCCCUUCAGAUAAGGUUCUCAGCUUCCUGAGAAGCAGAUGUGGAUGGCACCUCUCCCAUGGAGGGCAACAAAAUGUUGCAGGACACAGGGGCUAUCAGGAAACAAAGGUUCCGUCAAACCGGUAGUGCUCUUGAGCAGCUUCUGGACCCACCCUGCGCCAGCUCUUCUCUCUGCUCCUCUGCCUGUGAUGCCCACCCUUCGUAUUAGGACUUUGAAGUCUGCCUCAAAUGGUUUACUCUGUUCCCUAAGCUAAUCUGAAAGCUGUAUUAUCUUAAUACCACAGCCUGCAGUUCAAAGUUGUCUUGGCAUUCUCUUUAAAAUGUAGUGUGUGUGUGUGUGUA